AACGAACGCUGGCGGCAUGCCUAACACAUGCAAGUCGAACGAGACCUUCGGGUCUAGUGGCGCACGGGUGCGUAACGCGUGGGAAUCUGCCCUUGGGUUCGGAAUAACAGUUAGAAAUGACUGCUAAUACCGGAUAAUGUCUUCGGACCAAAGAUUUAUCGCCCAGGGAUGAGCCCCGCGUAGGAUUAGCUAGUUGGUGAGGUAAAGGCUCACCAAGGCGACGAUCCUUAGCUGGUCUGAGAGGAUGAUCAGCCACACUGGGACUGAGACACGGCCCAGACUCCUACGGGAGGCAGCAGUGGGAAUAUUGGACAAUGGGCGAAAGCCUGAUCCAGCAAUGCCGCGUGAGUGAUGAAGGCCUUAGGGUUGUAAAGCUCUUUUACCCGGGAUGAUAAUGACAGUACCGGGAGAAUAAGCCCCGGCUAACUCCGUGCCAGCAGCCGCGGUAAU
rnacentral:rRNA from 1 species